GACGAACGCUGGCGGCGUGCCUAAUACAUGCGAGUUGAGCGCUGAAGGUUGGUACUUGUACCAACUGGAUGAGCAGCGAACGGGUGAGUAACGCGUGGGGAAUCUGCCUUUGAGCGGGGGACAACAUUUGGAAACGAAUGCUAAUACCGCAUAAAAACUUUAAACACAAGUUUUAAGUUUGAAAGAUGCAAUUGCAUCACUCAAAGAUGAUCCCGCGUUGUAUUAGCUAGUUGGUGAGGUAAAGGCUCACCAAGGCGAUGAUACAUAGCCGACCUGAGAGGGUGAUCGGCCACAUUGAGACUGAGACACGGCCCAAACUCCUACGGGAGGCAGCAGUAGGGAAUCUUCGGCAAUGGACGAAAGUCUGACCGAGCAACGCCGCGUGAGUGAAGAAGGUUUUCGGAUCGUAAAACUCUGUUGGUAGAGAAGAACGUUGGUGAGAGUGGAAAGCUCAUCAAGUGACGGUAACUACCCAGAAAGGGACGGCUAACUACGUG
rnacentral:rRNA from 1 species